AGAUUGAACGCUAGCGGGAUGCUUUACACAUGCAAGUCGAACGGCAGCGCGGACUUCGGUCUGGCGGCGAGUGGCGAACGGGUGAGUAAUAUAUCGGAACGUGCCCAGUAGCGGGGGAUAACGUACGCGAAAGCGUGGCUAAUACCGCAUACGCCCUACGGGGGAAAGGGGGGGAUUCGUUCGGGAACCUCUCACUAUUGGAGCGGCCGAUAGUCAGAUUAGCUAGUUGGUGAGGUAAAGGCUCACCAAGGCGACGAUCUGUAGCUGGUUGAGAGGACGACCAGCCACACUGGGACUAGAGACACGGUCCAGACUCCGUACGGGAGCGAGCAGGUGGGAAUAGUGGACAAGUGGGACUAAAGCCUGAUCCAGCCA
rnacentral:rRNA from 1 species